GCCUGGGUGGCUCAGUCAGUUGAGCAUCUGACUUUAGCUCAGGUCAUGAUCCUCACGGUCUGUGAGUUCGAACCCCGUGUCGGGCU
rnacentral:tRNA from 1 species